UGUGUCACGUGAAGACUGUGCUCGCAACCUGCUUAAGUUCAUUUUGUCAGGAAAACUAGAUCCGAGCAUGUCUAUCAUUAAUUUUGGAGGAUUUGGAGGGUCUGUCCUUGAUGUUGUCCAGUCGUUUGGUCCCAACAAAUGUCUUGAGAAUACUUUCAUGCAGGGAUUUAUCGACUGUAUUCGUCAGGAUGAUGUAUUAUACAAUCCAGAUUCUGUAAUCAACACUCUAAUACUGAAUGUCAACGUUGGGACCGUUUUGAAUAUCGAGGAGUUUGAAC